AAGUCGUAACAAGGUUUCCGUAGGUGAACCUGCGGAAGGAUCAUUAACACGUAUCCAACGUUAAACAACCCUGUGAACUUUCAGAAUCAAAACUUUUCCGCCAUUGAUUUACCGGGAUUGCUGUUCCUCCUGGGCUACAAGAGCGUCUCGGGACCUCUGUCCAAAAGGUAUCAAGUUACAAUCGAGCUAGGAGCAGUGGCAUGGUUUCCCUAAGCAGUGCAGAAGGAUCCACUGAGUAAGGAUAACGCAUCACGGUUGCCAGAGGUCGAUCACCGGCCGGCAGACAUGUCACAGGGCUUUACGCCCCUUCAUUCACCCCUUGCCUAAUCAAGCCCCGCGGAAACGCCGGGCAAAAAAAUCUGAACAACUGUUAACAAUGGAUAUCUUGGUUCUC
rnacentral:misc_RNA from 1 species